GCCGAAGUGGUGGAACUGGCAGACGCAACGGACUCAAAAUCCGUCGGUAGCAAUACCAUGCGGGUUCGAUUCCCGCCUCCGGCACCA
rnacentral:tRNA from 1 species